GAUGAAGAACGUAGCGAAGUGCGAUAAGUAAUGUGAAUUGCAGAAUUCAGUGAAUCAUCGAAUCUUUGAACGCACAUUGCGCCCGCCAGUAUUCUGGCGGGCAUGCCUGUCCGAGCGUCAUUUCAACCCUCGAACCCCUCCGGGGGGUCGGCGUUGGGGAUCGGCACUUACCUGCCGGCCCCGAAAUACAGUGGCGGUCUCGCCGCAGCCUCUCCUGCGCAGUAGUUUGCACACUCGCACCGGGAGCGCGGCGCGUCCACGGCCGUAAAACAACCCAAACUUCUGAAAUGUUGACCUCGGAUCAGGUAGGAAUACCCGCUGAACUUAAGCAUAUCAAUAAGCGGAGGA
rnacentral:misc_RNA from 1 species